rnacentral:rRNA from 1 species
GGCGGCGUGCCUAACACAUGCAAGUCGGACGAGAAAGGCUGAUUUUCGGAUUGGCCGAGUAAAGUGGCGCACGGGUGAGUAACGCGUAGGUAACCUGCCCUUGUAUUUGGGAUAACAGAGCGAAAGUUCUGCUAAUACCGGAUGUGCCCUGGAUGCGGUGGCAUCUAGGUGAAAGUCGGCCUCUUCGCGAAAGCUGACGUACAGGGAUGGGCCUGCGUCCUAUCAGCUAGUUGGUGGGGUAAGAGCCCACCAAGGCGACGACGGGUAGCUGGUCUGAGAGGAUGAUCAGCCACACUGGCACUGGAACACGGGCCAGACUCCUACGGGAGGCAGCAGUGAGGAAUUUUGCGCAAUGGCCGCAAGGCUGACGCAGCAACGCCGCGUGGGUGAAGAAGGCCUUCGGGUCGUAAAGCCCUGUCAGGUGGGAAGAAAGGUUAGAUCAAGAAACGGGUCUAAUUUGACGGUACCACCAGAGGAAGCACCGGCUAACUCCGUGCCAGCAGCCGCGGUAAUACGGAGGGUGCAAGCGUUAUUCGGAAUUAUUGGGCGUAAAGCGCGUGUAGGCGGGGAUACAAGUCUGAUGUGAAAGCCCUGGGCUUAACCCGGGAAGUGCAUUGGAAACUGUAUUUCUUGAGUACUGGAGAGGAAGGGGGAAUUCCCGGUGUAGAGGUGAAAUUCGUAGAGAUCGGGAGGAAUACCAGUGGCGUCGCCUUUCUGGACGGUUACUGACGCUAGACGCG